AAUAUUUCACAAUGGGGGAAACCCUGAUGCAGCGACGCCGCGUGAGUGAAGAAGUAUUUCGGUAUGUAAAGAUCUAUCAGCAGGGAAGAUAAUGACGGUACCUGACUAAGAAGCCCCGGNUAACUACGUUCCAUCAGCCGCGGUAAUACGUAGGGGGCAAGCGUUAUCCGGAUUUACUGGGUGUAAAGGGAGCGUAGGUGGCAAGGCAAGUCAGAUGUGAAAGCCCGGGGCUCAACCCCGGUACUGCAUUUGAAACUGUCUAGCUGGAGUGCAGGAGAGGUAAGUGGAAUUCCUAGUGUAGCGGUGAAAUGCGUAGAUAUUAGGAGGAACACCAGUGGCGAAGGCGGCUUACUGGACUGUAACUGACACUGAGGCUCGAAAGCGUGGGGAGCAAAC
rnacentral:rRNA from 1 species